CGGGAGCAUGCUUGUCUGAGUGUCUGUGGAUCCCACUCAGCGCUGGUCUGCCCUUUGGGUGGAUUGGUAGCUGGUUACUUUGGCUUUGAUGGAUUCUAUCCUUCUUUGCUUAAAUUCUACAUACAUGUACGCGAAUAGAUCUGGAGGAGUCUUGUGUCUGUCCUAAGGACGGCAUUGGCAAUCUCAUCUAUCUCUGGUAGAGUUAAUUCUCUGGAGUUUGAACGAGUUUUGCCUUUAGCUGUUUUGAGUUCAACCAAAGCUUUUUCUAGUGAAGGGCCAGUAGCAGUAAAUGCCUACUGACCAACUAAUUCCGGAUCUCAGAUCAAGCAAGAAUACCCGCCGAAUUUAAGCAUAUAAUUAAGCGGAGGAAAAGAAACUAACUAGGAUUCCCCCAGUAACGGCGAGUGAAGCGGGACUAGCUCAGGAUGUAAAUCUGCACUUUAUGGUGCCGAAUUGUGGUCUGAAGACCUUGAUGUUAUCUGCCGGACCAAGUUCCUUGGAAAAGGACAGCUGAGAGGGUGAGACUCCCGUCCGUCUGGUAGAAUGAGUCAGGUGUCAACGAGUCGAGUUGUUUGGGAUUGCAGCUCUAAUUUGGUGGUAAAUUCCAUCUAAAGCUAAAUAUUGGUGGGAGACCGAUAGCGUACAAGUACCGUGAGGGAAAGAUGCAAAGAACUUUGAAAAGAGAGUUAAAGAGUACCUGAAAUUGCUGAAACGGAAGCGAAGGAAACCAGUGUUUGUAUGUUCAUAUUUCCCUUGCCACUUGUGGUGUGGGCGCUGUGGAUAUGCGUGGGUUUGAUUUGGUUGAUCCCUUUGG
rnacentral:rRNA from 1 species